CAGACCCAAGGUGCGCAAGCGGGUGCACGAUGCCUUAGUACAUGUGUUAAGGAAUCCCCCACCAAGCCCGUCGUUGGACCAUCCUGCGGCGGAUAUGUGUGCGGAGACAGCGCUGCAUACGCUGGGCGAGAGUGUCGCCGCCGCGGCGAAGGCGAAAAAGGGCCGACAUGGCCAGCAGCAGACAAGCCAGCAUGAGCCAAUGGUCAUCCAUGCCGUGCACUUGGUGAAGACCAUUGCAACCGCUUCGGGCGGGUGGCCGACAAAGAAGAUCGAGCCGUUGUGCGAGCUGCUGAUGAACGUGUCGAAAUCGUCCAACGAGUACCUGACCAUGGCUGCAUUUGAGGUCUUCGAGAUUAUAUUCGAAGGCAUGGCGGAUGACUUCUCGUCGUCCAAACUACCACGGCUUAUGGAGGCGAUUUCGGAAUUGAAACCCGCACAGAAUGAUUUGCAAUUGCUCCCCCCGUGGAUUGCGGUGCUUUCCAGGGGCUACGACGUAUCAGCGCAGGUGAACCCUGAGGAGACGUUUGAGAAUCUCCCCCAUCUUUUUGACCUCAUCUCGCCCUUCCUUGCGUCGUCGUCUCGGAAUAUUAGGGUGUCGGCCUCUGAGUGUCUCAUCUCAUUUCUAGUCAAUUGCAUUCCGGACUCAAUCAUCCUCGAACCCUCGGUAUAUGAUGAAAAGGUGUUUGAGAAACUGGCCAAAAUAUGCAUUGGACUACUCUCCAUCAAGUACCAGGCUGCAUGGAUGGAGGUAUUCAACGUGCUCGCCGCAAUGUUCGAUGCAUUGAAGUGGAGGGCAUUCCCUGUUCUGACUGAUAUUGUCCGGAUAAUCGGGGAGCUACGGGGGAAUGAAUCGUUCGCCAGCAAGAAACAAGCUGACCAAGUUCUCGGGUCUGCAAUUGCGGCCAUGGGUCCAGAGGCAGUAUUGGAGAUAUUACCGCUGAAUAUCGCACAUCAAACCGCCGGCCAACCAGGCCGAGUCUGGCUUCUGCCCAUCCUCAGGGACCAUGUGUCAAACACGCGCCUGUCAUUUUUCCGAUCGGAAUUCGUGCCACUCAGCGAGGCGCUGUUCCAGCGCGUUCUCGAAUACGGCAACGCGGAGAAAACGGUCGAAGUGAAAAUCUUCGAGACCCUCGUCCAGCAGACUUGGGCGAUUUUGCCAGGAUUCUGCGAACUGCCACUAGAUCUUACAGAGUCCUUUGAUCAAAGCUUUGCCGAGUUGCUUUCAAAUGUACUGUACAAGCAAACAGAGCUACGUGUGGAUGUGUGCAAAGCGUUACAGAAUCUUGUAGAAUCAAACCAAGCGAUUACCUCGUUGGAUACCGAGCGGGACGACCUGAUCCUUCAGCGACGGAUUGCGAAGGCAGAUGCGAAGAAAAAUAUAGCCCAUCUCGCUAGCUUUUCUAGUAAUAUCCUGGCUGUGCUGUUCAAUGUCUACAGUCAGACACUUCCUCAGUUCAGGGGUUUCCUGCUUCGAUGCAUCAAUGCAUAUUUGAGCAUUACAGGUGAACAGGAACUAAUUGAAACCUUCACACGCGUCACUACGAUGCUCGAGGGCACCCUUACCGAACCGGAACCUGCAGAGCAGAAGCAACCGAAAGGGCCCGGCGACAAAAUGCCCCCAACCUCUCACACUCUAAUGGAUCUCGUGGUCACGAUAUCGAUAUAUCUGCCACGAUCAAGUUUCGCCACUCUCUUCUCGCUUGCGGCUGCCGUUCUCCAGAAAAAGUCCUCGGACACCCAGUUAAUCAAGAAAGCAUACAAGCUCAUUCCGCGCCUCGCCACGACCGAGAACGGCGCCGCGUCACUCCGCGAGCGUAGCUCUGAACUGCAAUCUCUCAUCCUCGCAACAGCAGACCAAACACCCGCUCCGGCCCGCCGUGACCGGCUGCUCGCGAUCCAUGAAAUAGUCAGCUACCUCCCAACCUCAGAUCUACAUUUCAUCCCCUCAGUGCUGCCCGAAGUGGUGCUAGGAUGCAAGGAGAGUAACGAAAAGGCGCGUACGGCCGCAUUCUCCUUGCUCAUCCACCUCGCCCAGCGCACCAUAGACCCGGACCUCAACCCGGUUGGCACAGUGAUCCGCAACUCGCUCGUGCCACACAUGCCAGAUACAGCCCCAGACGCCCCUGCCACGAUCGAAGAGUUCUUCACCAUGGUCUCCGCCGGUCUCGCAGGUAGUUCCCCACACAUGGUCGCCGCCUCAGUAACUGCAUUGUCCAGGCUCCUCUUCGAAUUCCACUCGAAGCUACCCCCAGCUAUGCUGUCCGAUCUCGUGCAAACCAUCGAUAUCUUCCUGACAAGCAACAAUCGCGAGAUCGUCCGGAGUGUGCUGGGUUUUGUCAAAGUUGCUGUCGUCGCCUUACCGGAAGACAUGCUCCGGCCACGUCUCGACUCGCUCGUCCCUAACCUCCUGGUCUGGAGCAAGGAGCACAAGGGCCGCCUGAAGAGUAAAGUAAAGGGAAUCCUGGAGCGGCUAAUCCGGCGCUUCGGCUCGCCGCUCCUCGAAGGAUUAGUCGGCGAAGCCGAUCGGAAAUUCGUCGUCGCGAUCCGCAAAGAGCGCGAGCGGCGCAAGCGCAAGAAGACGCAGGCCAAGGGAGGCGAGGGCGGGGACGGAGAAGGAGAAGGAGACGAGCGAGGUGGAGACGCCGGCAGCGCGCGGAAAGGCGCAACGACGACACCCGGCCACCGCGACCACCAACCACCGCGAGGCGGCGAGAAGUCUUUCAGCAACGAAUUCGACAAAGCGGUCUACGGCUCCGACAUGUCGGAGUCGGACUCGGCCUUCGCGACGACGGACUCCGACGACGCGAGCGAAAUUGACGUCGACGAGCAGGGCAACAUGCACGUCUCAUCCCAUAAAUCCAGCGCUACUAGCCGCAAACAGCAGCAGCAGCAACGAGGCGGGGGAGGACGACAGAAACCCAGCCGACCAGGCCCACAAUCUCAAACGCAGUACAUCCGCGAGCUCUCGCCGGAAUCAAACCCGC
rnacentral:sRNA from 2 species